ACGGAAGGCAGCAGUGAGGAAUAUUGGUCAAUGGGCGGAAGCCUGAACCAGCCAAGUCGCGUGAAGGAUGAAGGUAUUAUGUAUUGUAAACUUCUUUAGUCGCAGGGAAAUAAGGCGGACGAGUCCGCUGAUGCUAGUAUGCGAAGAAUAAGGAUCGGCUAACUCCGUGCCAGCAGCCGCGGUAAUACGGAGGAUCCGAGCGUUAUCCGGAUUUAUUGGGUUUAAAGGGUGCGCAGGCGGUCUUUUAAGUCAGUGGUCAAACCGUGGGGCUCAACCCCAUCCCGCCAUUGAUACUGGAGGACUUGAUUGCGGUCGAGGUUGGCGGAAUUCGUCGUGUAGCGGUGAAAUGCAUAGAUAUGACGAAGAACACCGAUUGCGUAGGCAGCUGACCAGGCCGUAAAUGACGCUCAUGCACGAAAGUGCGGGGAUCGAACAGGAUUAGAUACCCUGGUA
rnacentral:rRNA from 1 species